rfam:Myotis brandtii contig258884, whole genome shotgun sequence.
GCCAGUGUUGCUCAGUGGAGAGUGUUGGCCCAUCCACCAAAGGGUUGUGGGUUCGAUCCCCAGCCACGGUCA